AGAGUUUGAUCCUGGCUCAGGAUGAACGCUGGCGGCGUGCUUAACACAUGCAAGUCGAACGAUGACCCCGGUGCUUGCACCGGGUGAUUAGUGGCGAACGGGUGAGUAACACGUGAGUAACCUGCCCCCGACUCUGGGAUAAGCCCGGGAAACUGGGUCUAAUACCGGAUAUUCACUUCCUUCCGCAUGGAGGGUGGUGGAAAGAUUCAUCGGUGGGGGAUGGACUCGCGGCCUAUCAGCUUGUUGGUGGGGUAAUGGCCUACCAAGGCGACGACGGGUAGCCGGCCUGAGAGGGUGACCGGCCACACUGGGACUGAGACACGGCCCAGACUCCUACGGGAGGCAGCAGUGGGGAAUAUUGCACAAUGGGCGAAAGCCUGAUGCAGCGACGCCGCGUGAGGGAUGACGGCCUUCGGGUUGUAAACCUCUUUCAGUAGGGAAGAAGCGAAAGUGACGGUACCUGCAGAAGAAGCGCCGGCUAACUACGUGCCAGCAGCCGCGGUAAUACGUAGGGCGCAAGCGUUAUCCGGAAUUAUUGGGCGUAAAGAGCUCGUAGGCGGUUUGUCGCGUCUGCCGUGAAAGUCCGGGGCUCAACCCCGGAUCUGCGGUGGGUACGGGCAGACUAGAGUGAUGUAGGGGAGACUGGAAUUCCUGGUGUAGCGGUGAAGUGCGCAGAUAUCAGGAGGAACACCGAUGGCGAAGGCAGGUCUCUGGGCAUUAACUGACGCUGAGGAGCGAAAGCAUGGGGAGCGAACAGGAUUAGAUACCCUGGUAGUCC
rnacentral:rRNA from 1 species